CCCUUAGAUGUUCUGGGCCGCACGCGCGCUACAAUGGCAGACUCAGCGAGUUACCUCUGUCGAAAGGCACAGGGAAUCUUUACAGUAUCUGCCGUGAUGGGGAUAGACCCUUGUAAUUUUUGGUCUUCAACGAGGAAUUCCUAGUAAACGCAAGUCAUUAACUUGCAUUGAUUACGUCCCUGCCCUUUGUACACACCGCCCGUCGCACCUACCGAUUGAAUGGUCCGGUGAAGUCCUCGGACCCAGUUGGACCUCGAGUUGAACAGGGAAAGUUGACUAAAUCUUACCAUUUAGAGGAAGGUGAAGUCGUAACA
rnacentral:rRNA from 1 species